rnacentral:rRNA from 1 species
GACGAACGCUGGCGGCGUGCCUAAUACAUGCAAGUAGAACGCUGAAGAGAGGAGCUUACUCUUCUUGGAUGAGUUGCGAACGGGUGAGUAACGCGUAGGUAACCUGCCUUGUAGCGGGGGAUAACUAUUGGAAACGAUAGCUAAUACCGCAUAACAAUGGAUGACACAUGUCAUUUAUUUGAAAGGGGCAAUUGCUCCACUACGAGAUGGACCUGCGUUGUAUUAGCUAGUAGGUGAGGUAAUGGCUCACCUAGGCGACGAUACAUAGCCGACCUGAGAGGGUGAUCGGCCACACUGGGACUGAGACACGGCCCAGACUCCUACGGGAGGCAGCAGUAGGGAAUCUUCGGCAAUGGGGGCAACCCUGACCGAGCAACGCCGCGUGAGUGAAGAAGGUUUUCGGAUCGUAAAGCUCUGUUGUAAGUCAAGAACGGGUGUGAGAGUGGAAAGUUCACACUGUGACGGUAGCUUACCAGAAAGGGACGGCUAACUACGUG